AUGGAAAAUGUCAUCCCAGAAGUUCCAAUUCAAACUCCUCCACCACCACCACCACCACCACCACCUCCCGUUCAUCAUCAUCAUAAACCAUCUAAUGAAUUGCGUAAACCUGUCACUCCAGAUCAUCUUAAACUCCCAAAAGCAUUCAAGUACCCCGAAAGGUAUACAAGUCCAACUGAUAUGAUCAUGUCCCCAGUCACCAAAGGCCUUCUUGCUAGAAAUAAAAAGGCUGCUGCAAAGUUACCACCUGGAAUUGGAGCUGCUAAAUAUCACCUAAAGGUUCCAGAGAUGUGCUUGCCGGAUGCAACUACCUUUCAAAACAAACUUCCAAUGAUGAUUGACCAGAAAAUCAACUCAACAUGA